CGCUAUGAGAUGGGCCCGCGGCGCAUUAGCUAGUUGGUGAGGUAACGGCUCACCAAGGCGACGAUGCGUAGCCGACCUGAGAGGGUGAUCGGCCACAUUGGGACUGAGACACGGCCCAGACUCCUACGGGAGGCAGCAGUGGGGAAUAUUGCACAAUGGGGGAAACCCUGAUGCAGCAACGCCGCGUGAGUGAUGACGGCCUUCGGGUUGUAAAGCUCUGUCUUCAGGGACGAUAAUGACGGUACCUGAGGAGGAAGCCACGGCUAACUACGUGCCAGCAGCCGCGGUAAUACGUAGGUGGCGAGCGUUGUCCGGAUUUACUGGGCGUAAAGGGAGCGUAGGCGGAUUUUUAAGUGAGAUGUGAAAUACUCGGGCUUAACCUGAGUGCUGCAUUUCAAACUGGAAGUCUAGAGUGCAGGAGAGGAGAAGGGAAUUCCUAGUGUAGCGGUGAAAUGCGUAGAGAUUAGGAAGAACACCAGUGGCGAA
rnacentral:rRNA from 1 species